rnacentral:rRNA from 1 species
AAGGUGCUGCAUGGUUGUCGUCAGCUCGUGCCGUGAGGUGUUGGGUUAAGUCCCGCAACGAGCGCAACCCCUAUUCUUAGUUGCCAGCGAUUCGGUGGGGACUCUAAGAAAACUGCCCGCGCAAGCGUGGAGGAAGGUGGGGACGACGUCAAAUCAUCACGGCCCUUACGUCCAGGGCCACACACGUGCUACAAUGGUAGGGACAGAGGGCAGCCACCUGGUGACAGGGAGCGAAUCCUUAAACCCUAUCUCAGUUCGGAUCGGAGUCUGCAACUCGA